rnacentral:rRNA from 1 species
UUUAAUGGAGAGUUAGAUCCUGGCUCAGAAUUAACGCUGGCAGAGUGCAUAACACAUGCAAGUCGAGCGGGGCUGUCUGAGAUUACAUCAACUGGCAGUCAAGCGGCAAACGAGUGAGUAACACGUAAGUAAUCUGCCCCCGAAUGGCGAACAACCAGCCGAAAGGUUGGCUAAUACGCCGUACAAUCCCUGGAAGGCAUCUCCCGGGGAUGAUAGGCCCGCAAGGGCCGUUCGGGGAGGAGCUUGCGGCCCAUCAGCUAGUUGGCGGUGUAACGGACCACCAAGGCUAUGACGGGUACCCGGCCUGAAAGGGCGGACGGGCACGAUGGCACUGAGACACGGGCCAUACUCCUACGGGAGGCAGCAGUGGGGAAUUUUGGACAAUGGGGGAAACCCUGAUCCAGCAAUCCUGCGUGAGGGACGAAGUCCUUCGGGAUGUAAACCUCUUUUGUCGGGGAAGAAUGCCCGCAAGGGUUUGACGGUACCCGGCGAAUAAGCCACGGCUAACUACGUGCCAGCAGCCGCGGUAAGACGUAGGU